GACGUACCACCCAAACGUUAUUCGGAAUCACUGGGCUUAAAGAGUCCGUAGGCGGCUGGGAAAGUUGGGUGUGAAAUACCUCGGCUCAACCGAGGAACUGCACUCAAAACUGCUCAGCUUGAGAGAGACAGAGGUAAGCGGAACUGAUGGUGGAGCGGUGAAAUGCGUUGAUAUCAUCAGGAACACCGGUGGCGAAAGCGGCUUACUGGGUCUCUUCUGACGCUGAGGGACGAAAGCUAGGGGAGCGAACGGGAUUAGAUACCCCGGUAGUCCUAGCCUUAAACGAUGAGCACUAGAUCGAAGGGACCUCCACAUCCUUUUGGUCGUAGGGAAACUGUUAAGUGCUCCGCCUGGGGAGUAUGGUCGCAAGGCUGAA
rnacentral:rRNA from 1 species